CUCUCUCUCUCUCAAAAAUAAAUAAAUGUUGAAAAAAAUUUUUAAUAUUAAAAAUUAAGUUAAUAUGUAUAUGUAACUAAAUAUACCCUUGCAAGGUAAAACAGUAAUUUUGUCUUCCUAAAGUUUGUUCAGAACCUAAUACUUUGUGACUAUAUAGAACAAGUACUUGACUUCUCAGUUUUCAUGAUGAGAUCAAAAUAGCAUAUCCUAGAAUGCUCAAUAUUUCUUAACUGGAAUUUGGUUAAAUCACAAUUGUUUUUAUACCUAAGACCUUCAGUUGAAAAUCCUCUACACGCUCUAAAAUAUUCACAAAAUUUGAUGAGGCAUACGCAAUCAAAACGCAGCUAGAAGAACCUGAAAAUUCACAUCAGUACUCAACUCUGAAUUCACUUUAGGGUUGUCACUCUCACUUUUAACUGGCCACACAGCUAUUUACGUGGAAAGAGAAUAUACACUUGCCCUGUCACUCACUCCUAUGGUUUCUAAAUUUCGCUGAAAAUCGUAUACCAUAGGUGAACCAAGAGAUUCAUUUUCUACAUUGGAGUACUUCAAUUAAUUUGUCCUUCUCCACAGGAGAUUGGCAGCGUAGCCCCAUUUACUUGUGACAAUGGAUCAUUAGACCCAGGGGCUCGAAACCCCCAACAGAGAACAAAACAGAGCGGAAGUAGGAUGGAAGAACUGAUCCACCUCACCAGAAAAGGAGGAGCCUUGAGAGUAGACAGCAAAAGGGUAUAAAAGAGAAAGUAUGGCCAUGGGGGUGGGUUGGAGUUGAGGGAGAAAGGGUUGGUCAAAGGCAGAAGGCAUUUCUCUGCCAACCGCAACGCUGGAAUAUGCAUUCACAGUACCAACAAGAGAAAUCGGGGGAAAGUUGCUGAGAGAACAAGAAACGGGGCCAGCAUCCCUCCUGGGCCCUGAUUGGUUGAAACACACGACCAACCAGAUUCUGUGUAAGCUUGAUAAGCUUAUAGUAAGUGCAUUUGGUUGAUGGUCUAUACUAUCCUUUUCCUUUCAAGACAGGAAAACUGAGGUCCUGGCCAUAAAAGUAGAAAUCAGGACAGAGCCAUUUUCAGCAGCCCAUGGACAAAUACUUGAGGCGGGCACAGUGGAACAUUUCUCUAGAAGCCUCCUACUGUCUUAAUGUGCAUGCUUUGCUAGAGGGAGAAACAAUCUUAACCUGACAAUAGCAAGGCCUCCGGGAUCCUAGCAGAUGAAAAUACCUUUGGAAACUUCCCCUUGCCUUUACCUCCCCCAACUCCCAAGUAUAUAAUCAGUCACUCCUCACAAUCCCAGGGUAGCUCUUUCUGUCCACGGGCCCUGUCCCCAUGCUUUAAUAAAAUCACUUUUUUGCACCAAA